UCUCAGUUCGGAUCGGAGUCUGCAACCCGACUCCGUGAAGCUGGAUUCGCUAGUAAUCGCGCAUCAGCCAUGGCGCGGUGAAUACGUUCCCGGGCCUUGUACACACCGCCCGUCAAGCCAUGGGAGCCGGGGGUGCUUGAAGUGCGUCGCCGCAAGGCGCGCCCUAGAGCAAAACCGGUGACUGGGGCUAAGUCGUAACAAGGUAUC
rnacentral:rRNA from 1 species